GCAGGGGUGGCGGAACGGCAUACGCGCUAGUUUCAGGCACUAGUUUUUGAGGGUUCAAAUCCCUUCUCCUGCA
rnacentral:tRNA from 1 species